rnacentral:rRNA from 1 species
GACGAACGCUGGCGGCGGGCUUAACACAUGCAAGUCGAACGGAAAGGCCCUGCUUGCAUGGUGCUCGAGUUGCCAACGGGCGGGUAACACGUGGGUGAUCUGCCCCUUACUUUUGCAUAAGCCUUGGAAACUGGGUCUUAUACUUGAUAGGACCUUGCUGCUAGUGGUGUGGUCGGGAGAUUUUCUUCGGUAGGGGAUGAGCGCGGGGCGUAUCAGCUUGUUGGUGGGGUAAUGGCCUACCAAGGCGUCGACGGCUAGCCGGCCAGAGUGGGUGGACGGCCCGAUUGAGACUGCGACGCGGCCCAGACGCCUACGGGAGGCGGCAGUGGGGGAUAUUGCGAAAUAGGCGCAAGGCGGAGGCAGCGACGGCGCGUGGGUGAUGAAGGCCUUCGGGUUGGAAACACCUGCAGGACAUGACGAAGCCCUUGUGGUGACGGUAGUGAAAGAAGAAGCACCGGCUAACUACGUG